CUGAAAUAUUAACUUUAUUUGAGUUUCAAGAUACCGAUCAUUUAAGAAUCUGAUGAUGAACCUUUAAAAACCAGCUACUAAUUUCUUGACAUAACUGAUACAGCUUUUAAUAAUGUACUGUUGCUGGCUAGGCUUUUAAAAAUUUAAUAUUCAUAGGGAGGCUUAUUCAAUUUUAAUUAAAACAUAAUAUUGUAAGUUUUUUAUGAAACAAAAUUUUUCCUGGAUUUUCUUUCUUUUCAAAAGAAUAAGAAAGGUUAUGUUAAUUAAAUUUAAAAGAUGAGAUGAAACACUUAAUAUAGUAAUCAGAAGUGCUUGUUCUUACCCUUUCUCUUCUUUUUUUGCUAGAUAUUAUUGUCACACUAUUGCUAGUCCGCCUAAAAGUUAUCUUUGCAAUAGAGUAUUUAUAAAUUAUGCUUUCUGGGAGUCAUGCAAAAUAAUAGUAAAAAUUCAGUUGAGAUAUGGGGAUAUGUUUGUUGUAUUCCAGAGUGAGAUGUAGAGAUCUCAUCUCCAUGGCUAAGAUUUAAGCUUCGACCCUCGUCGUGGGGUUUCGACUGUAUCCUCAUCACUCCUAGCAGUACCCAUUGAUGUUUAUUGCCAUUCUGAUUAAUUUAAAGGUGGAACAAAUUUCAACAUGAAUAACUCUAUUUCUUGUUAGUAGUAUUUACUUGAAGCUUUAAACAUGUCCUUUAUAAAUUAAGCACUUAUGAUUUCAAAAUCUCCUUUGGAAUGGCUGUCAGUCAAGGAAUUCUCUGAUUCCAACAGUUUUUGAUCCUUUAAGUAAGCACUUGCAGCAUGUUUUAAAAGUCCAAUUUGCAUGCCUCUCACUCUUCAGUGGUUGUGAAUUGUUUUAGCAUCUUGCCUCACUUUAAGUUGAUCACCUGGUCAGCCAAAUCUUGCUAAUAAUAAAUAAUAGGCCUCUGAUUACAAGAAGGAAUAGUCUAGUCUAAAAUCAUGCUGUUGGAGACUUUGUGCAUCCAUUUGAUGUUAAUGAAAGUAGAUCUGGUGUUGACUAUGAUAUCCAAACACAGCUUUACCUCAGUAAUACCAUACCUAAGAUUAGCUAACGGGGCCAUUCACUGUCCUG
rnacentral:lncRNA from 1 species